rnacentral:rRNA from 1 species
GGUUAACGCUGGCGGCGUGCCUAACACAUGCAAGUCGAACGGUUCUAAGCGCGAGCUUAGGAUAGUGGCGAACGGGUGAGUAAAAGGUAGGAAUCUACCCCUUGGACGGAGAUAGCUACUGGAAACGGUAGGUAAACUUCGAUAAGCCCGAGAGGGGAAAGUGGUGAGACAGCCGAGGGAUGAGCCUACUCUCCAUCAGGUAGUUGGUGAGAUAAAAGCUUACCAAGCCGAUGACGGAUAACCGGUGUGAGAGCAUGAACGGUCACAAGGGCACUGAGAGACGGGCCCUACUCCUACGGGAGGCAGCAGUGGGGAAUAUUGCGCAAUGGGGGAAACCCUGACGCAGCGACGCCGCGUGAGCGAAGAAGGCCUUAGGGUUGUAAAGCUCUGUUCUAUGGGACGAAGUCCUUGACUGUGAAUAAUGGUCAAGGUUGACGGUACCAUAGGAGGAAGCCCCGGCUAACUACGUG